rnacentral:rRNA from 1 species
GGGUCAGUAGGUUGGUCGUGCCACCGGUACGUACUGGUCUCACUGAUUCCUCCUUCCUGAAGAACUGUAAUGUCAUUAAUUUGGUGUUGCGGGGAAACAGGACUGUUACUUUGAAAAAAUUAGAGUGUUUAAAGCAAGCUAACGCUUGAAUACAUUAGCAUGGAAUAAUGAAAUAGGACGAUCGAUCCUAUUUUGUUGGUUUCUAGGAUUGACGUA